UGCGUAAUCUCUACAGCAAUU
rnacentral:piRNA from 1 species